rnacentral:rRNA from 1 species
GCCGGGGGGUGCAAGUGUUAUCCGGAAUCACUGGGCGUAAAGCGUCUGCAGGUGGUUUCCUAAGUCCACUGUUAAACCUUGAGGCUCAACCUCAAAUCUGCAUUGGAAACUAGGAGACUUGAGUAUAGUAGGGGUAGAGGGAAUUUCCAGUGGAGCGGUGAAAUGCGUAGAUAUUGGAAAGAACACCGAUGGCGAAGGCACUCUACUGGGCUAUUACUGACACUCAGAGACGAAAGCUAGGGGAGCAAAUGGG